UUGGAAGUAAAAGUCGUAACAAGGUUUCCAUAGGUGAACCUGCGGAAGGAUUGUG
rnacentral:rRNA from 1 species